AGGAUUGGAGAUGGAAUGUCCCAUGGAAACCGAACCCGGAGCUGCGGCCAGGACUUGCACGGGGGCGGGGCAGGGUCUUUCCAAGGCGCCUGCGCCGAACCAGCUUCUCGGCGCCAUUUUGUCUGGGCAGCGGUGGCCGCAGCACUAUCGCAUUUUAUGUUUCUGGCUAGGCGAGAGCGGAGUCUUCAUCCUGUAGAUUCAUUUUACUGCAGCACCCAUCCACCGUUCCUGCCAGGACAGCACCUAGUGAAGGUUGGAAGAGUCGUGGGUCUGUCAAAAAGUUGGUCUGAAGAAAACUGGAAAGUUUCAGAGACGAAUAUCCGAAAGAGUUACUGAGCACCCUGGCUCUUUGUCCCUCAUGUUGGAAACGUUUAGAGAGCUGAUGCUGAAUCAUCAGAUAUUAGAAACCAUCUAUAAAGGUUUUACCAGAUACUUCCCUUUUUAUCAUGUAGGUUCCUUUAUAAAUAACAGAAAUGAAAGCAAAUGGAUAGUUUUAUCAGAUAAGUGCUUUUAUAGUCUAAAUAUAUUCUAUUAUUUAUAAUCUCUAAGCCAAAACUUUAUUAAAAUUUUUUUUACUAUUUUUUUUAGGUACCAGUAUCAAGAACGUUCAUGGUAAUAAGAUUUCCACAUAAUACUGAGAGAUGAAAGCAAAAGGAAAAAGAAUAGAAGACAGGAACUUAGUACAACACCAGGAAUUGUAUGAUGGAAAAGGACACUGGUUUAACAACUGUGAGGUCUGUGAAUUGUUCAUAAGCAGUAUUUUAUGACUCUAGCCAGUGUGUUUAACCCUGGAUUGGAUUUGAGCUAAGUGAUCUCUAAGGUUCUUUUGUCAAUUUUACUAAAAUACCAAACAUGAAUUAGGCUUUUAAAUGUCUAGAACUUGACAUUAGUUGCAGGCACUGAAAAAAUGUUUUCUACAACCUGGCUUUAAAUAAGUUGAAUGAGUAUUAGUUGAGCAAGGUUCCAAUACAGCACUAAUAUUAAACGUAUGUGAAAUUUUUUCUGACUGUAAUUUACCAAAAUACUCUAAGUUACAUAGUUGUCUUUUGGGAAGUUUCUGAUAAGCAGGUGGAUACUGUUUCACCAUUAAGUUGAUCAAUUUAUGGCUAAAACAAAAACCAGUAGGCUUUUAAGAAAAUUUUCACACUAAUAGAUGGCAGGGUUCCAUGCCUCAUUUAGAUAGGAACAAAGGAAAGGGAAGCAAAGGAGCAGAGUAUUAAUGUGCUCCAUAGACAAAAGCUGUGCUCUAGAGAAGAAAAAAUGAUACAGUAAAACACCAAAGUUCUUAACCUAAGGUUCAGAGGGCUCCAUGAAUGACCUUCAGGGAUUUUGUGAAAGUAUAUGAAAAUUUCUGCUUAUAUUUUUCUGGAUUAAGAGCUUAUAAUAAGCAGCCAUCAAAGUUAUAAAGGGAUCCAUGAUACAACUCUACAGGUAAAUAUGUUGCCAGCAUUCCUAUUUAUCCACCUUCAGAAAACUACUGAAAACAGCCAACCACACUUGGAGUAAAAGGUUUAGUUUGUGGUGAUAAAAACAUCACUACAUAAGGAUAAUGUUAUAGCAGAAAUUUAAGCAAUAAAUACAUGUUACCUGAAGCUUUUCUAUUUCUGUCUUUGCAGCUUGCUUGGCUUUGCCAAUGGCGCAGCCCCAAUAACCCUAUUUAAAAAGAACACACACCAAAAAUACACAUGUAUUAUUAAAUUAAUAUACUUUCAUAAGUAAUGACUACUGUUUCUAUUUAAAGGUUAAUGAAAAGAUGUUAAAUUACAUUCAGAAGCACGUAUGGAGAAAUAUAGUCAGAAAACAUGAAUAUGAAGGGACUCAAAAGAUUAAAAAACUUAAUUCUAGGAUAAUCUGGAUUAUUUUCAAGAGGUAUAUCCAAAGAAAAAUUAUGUCAUUAUAUAUUCUUCAUGAACUAGAGACAUUUUUUUGUCUGUAGGAAUAAAAAAAUUUUAGCAUUGUAACAAAAUGAAGUUGAAAUAAAUAAUUCCUGAGUCCAAUA